GCUCUGAAACAGCUCUUCAGCGAGGCCUCCUGAGGCUGCAUGGGGAGGGGCACAAUGGGGAGUCAAAGACCCGGCUGUUUUUCCCCCCUCAACUAAGACCACUCCGACCCGCCCGCGGGCGUCUCAGCCAAUCGCGGACCCUCUGGGUACAAGACCCACCCUCCUGUAAGGCUCCACACCGACAACGCUGGGCCACGCCCCCAGACAAUUGCAUAGGACCCCGCCCCCGCGCUCCAAGCCUCGCCCCGGAUAAUAAGCUCAAAAUUCCAAGUCCCGCCCCUGAGCCCACGCCCCUCCUCUCGCAGCAUCCUCCCCUCUGAGCCCCACCCCCGGGUAGAAGCCCAGCCCAGUACCUGGUGUAAGGGGGCGGAGGUGCGUCGUGCACCCCAGAGGCCGCCAGCGCCUGCUCAGGGAGGAGUACAGGCCAAGAAGCAAAGCAGAACUGGGGCCACUUCCUAGAUGAGGAAACUGAGGCACGGAGAGAUAAAAGAAUUGCCCAAGGUCGUGCGAUUUGCAAGAUUCAGAAGCAGGAUUUGAGUGAAAGCUGUGUGCGCCUCCAGAGACUGGAGCAGGGGGCUUAUCUUUUUCUCUACCGGGUCUGCAGCGCCCAGCAUGAAUUUUGGCACAUAGUAGGUGCUCUUAAACAUGUCUGUUGAUGAUCAAGAUUCCUUUCUUCCAGGUAGUUUCCACCUAUACUUGCCUCUCCCUGUGCUCAUUACCACAUCCACCCACAGAGAUCAAAGAUUACAGGAGAGACCAGAACAGGAGAGGCAAAGAGUAUAUUCUUGGAUCCAGGGGGGCAAAGGGAGUGGGGGUCCUGGACCCCUGGGACUGGGGGACCCAAGCUUCUGAGUCCCCGAGGGGCAGAGAACUGGGGGACCAGGGUCUCCAAGCCAGGCUCUGCCUCCAGGGGACAUUCACUUACCUGCCCAGACCUGUGAGCGACUG